rnacentral:rRNA from 1 species
CCAAUAGCGUAUAUUAAAGUUGUUGCAGUUAAAAAGCUCGUAGUUGAAUUUCGGGGUUAGUAGGUUGGUCAUGCCUCUGGUAUGUACUGGUCUCACUGAUUCCUCCUUCCUGAUGAGCCGUAAUGCCAUUAAUUUGGUGUUGCGGGGAAUUUGGACUGUUACUUUGAAAAAAUUAGAGUGUUUAAAGCAAGCUAACGCUUGAAUACAUUAGCAUGGAAUAAUGAAAUAGGACGUUCGAUCCUAUUUUGUUGGUUUCUAGGAUUGACGUAAUGAUUAAUAGGGAUAGUUGGGGGCAUUAGUAUUCAAUUGUCAGAGGUGAAAUUCUUGGAUUUAUUGAAGACUAACUACUGCGAAAGCAUUUGCCAAGGAUGUUUUCAUUAAUCAAGAACGAAAGUUAGGGGAUCGAAGACGAUCAGAUACCGUCGUAGUCUUAACCAUAAACUAUGCCGACUAGGGAUCGGAUGAUGUUAAUUUUUUAAUGACUCGUUCGGCACCUUACG